CCUACGGGCGGCAGCAGUGAGGAAUAUUGGUCAAUGGCCGGAAGGCUGAACCAGCCAUGCCGCGUGAAGGUCAGUGCCCUUUGGGCGUUAAACUUCUUUUGUGCGGGAGCAAUAAUGGUCACGUGUGGCCAGACGAGAGUACCGUACGAAUAAGCAUCGGCUAACUCCGUGCAAGCAGCUGCGGUAAUACAGGGGAUGCCAGCGUUAUCCGGAUUUAUUGGGUUUAAAGGGUGCGUAGGCUGUGAGGUAAGUCAGCAGGGAAAUGCCACCGCUCAACGGGGUGAAGUGCCAUUGAUACUGCCUUGCUGGAAUGCGGAUGCCGUGGGAGGAAUGUGUGGUGUAGCGGUGAAAUGCAUAGAUAUCAGACAGAACACCGAUUGCGAAGGCAUCUCACGAAUCCGCGAUUGACGCUGAUGCACGAAAGCGUGGGUAUCAAACAGGAUUAGAUACCCGAGUAGUC
rnacentral:rRNA from 1 species